AUGUCAACUGGUUGUCGGGGAAGCAAUUCCUUGGUAACGAAGCUAACGCGUGAAGUUGACCGCCUGGGGAGUACGGCCGCAAGGUUAAAACUCAAAGGAAUUGACGGGGACCCGCACAAGCGGUGGAUUAUGUGGAUUAAUUCGAUGCAACGCGAAAAACCUUACCUACCCUUGACAUGCCAGGAACCCUCCAGAGAUGGAGGGGUGCCCGAAAGGGAACCUGGACACAGGUGCUGCAUGGCUGUCGUCAGCUCGUGUCGUGAGAUGUUGGGUUAAGUCCCGCAACGAGCGCAACCCUUGCCAUUAGUUGCCACAUUCAGUUGGGCACUCUAAUGGGACUGCCGGUGACAAACCGGAGGAAGGUGGGGAUGACGUCAAGUCCUCAUGGCCCUUAUGGGUAGGGCUUCACACGCAAUACAAUGGCCGGUACAGAGGGCAGCCAACCCGCGAGGGGGAGCUAAUCCCAGAAAGCCGGUCGUAGUCCGGAUUGCAGUCUGCAACUCGACUGCAUGAAGCCGGAAUCGCUAGUAAUCGCGGAUCAGCAUGUCGCGGUGAAUACGUUCCCGGGUCUUGUACACACCGCCCGUCACACCAUGGGAGUGGGUUC
rnacentral:rRNA from 1 species